ACCUUGUUCAAAGGAACUUAGUAAGUAUUCCAUGUUUUAUAAUGUUACUGCCCUUCUUAGGAGUAUUAUUCAAGAGAAUUAACUUUGUUAGAGAUUGGGCUUGUGGGAGUCUGCUGCAUAUAUUUUACAGUUAGAUAGGUGUUUUCCGUUAGACUUGCUGAUGACUCUUUGUUUACAAUAGAGUUGUAAAUGAGUUGAGCUACUCAGAUUCAGCUUGCAAAAUAUUUCAAUUCUCCAAAGUUCUAAUCGAGUCGAGCAGAGCUUAAGUAUUGCAAUGCUGGACUCAAGUACCUCACAAGCCUAAUCGACUAUUUAAAUUCUUGUGAAGUUUUAGAUAAUUUGAUUUUGAGCAAGCUUGAAUUUAUUCGAGCUUUAACUAGAGAUUAACAAGUGAUGUGACCUAAAUUUUCAUUUGUGAUGGAGUCGAGUAUUCCUAUUCUGAUUAUCUCAUUGAGUCAAUUUUGAGCAUGAAAGCGUACUUGAGUUUCAAGUAUUGGGUUUUCUAAGAAUCGAGUUUGAGUACCAUAAAAUAUAUGCUGUCCCAACUUGGAUUGAUUAUAGCCCUUGUAUAUAAUUUCUAAAAUAUUGGCAAAUAAAAUAUAUAUAGCGUUAUUAUUUAUUUUUCCAUUUCCUUGCGACUUUAGGGAUAACUAUAGUAUCGAG
rnacentral:misc_RNA from 1 species